AAUCCCCCCCGAGACCCCGCCCCAACAUGGCGGCGGCGGCGGGGGGCGGGGUCUCGCCGGGGGGCGGAGCCUCGCUGGAGGAGGAGUGCGAGGUUGUGCGCGUGCGCGUCAAGGUAAGGGAUGGGGCGUGGUUGUGGGCGGGGCCUCGCGUGGGCGCGGUUAUUAUGAUGAGUUGUGGGCGGAGUUAAGGGUGGGGUCACGUGGGUUCGGACAACCAAUCAGCUCGGCGAGGCGGGUGUGGCGCCGGCGGGAAAUUUUCCCGCCUCUCGGGUCACGUGAAGGCCCGGCAGCCAAUCAGCGGCGCGGGAGGCUCUCCGCGUUGUCGCGGUGAGGGGAGAGUGCCGCCAUGUUGAGUCGCCGUGAGGGGCCGGGGGGGCUCCGGGACCCUCCGGGACCCCCGCGGGACCCUCCGGGACCCUCUGACGCUCCUCCCGCAGAAGAACGAGGGGCAGCAGCCGCCCGAGUUCCGCUCGUUUGCCGUGGACCCGCAGAUCACCUCGCUGGAUGUGCUGCAGCACAUCCUGGCCCGAGCCUUCGACCUGCAGGGGAAGAAAAGCUUCGUGCUGAGCUUUGCAGCACGGGAUGGGCAGGGCCAGGACACCUUUGUGCCUCUGCUGAGCGAUGGUGACCUGGCCAAUGCCUUCACCUGCGCCCGGCCCACCCUGAGGCUGCGCCUGGACGUCAGGAACCCCCCCGACAGUGAGUGACACACCUGGGACACACCUGGGCACAAGGGGACACAGCUGGAACACAGCUGGGCACAGGUGGACACACCUGGGUGGGUGGGGACGCACCUGGGAGAGUGGGGACACACCUGGGCACAGGGGGACGCACCUGGGACACACCUGGGAGAAUGGGGACACACCUGGGAGAGUGGGGACACACCCAAGGACCCACCCCUGGGACACUCAGGUGCUUUUGGGUGGGUGUCAGGUGGUGCUGAGAGCCUGGGGGAGGGUCCCAGGGCGGGGCUCAGGUGUGUUGGGUGGGGCUUCCAGGUUCCUCAGGUACCUGUAGCUCAGGUGUGUCAGGGGAUCUCCCAGGUCUCUCAGUUACC
rnacentral:lncRNA from 1 species